rnacentral:snRNA from 1 species
GACUGCGGGGUUGGCUGGCCGGCCUGUCCCCCGUUGACUGCGGGGUUGGUUGGCUGGUCUGGCUGGUUUUGUGGGCAUCCCUUUCCUUCCUCACUCUUCACAUGUGUUUCUCCCAAGAUCCUGUCCCCAGGUGGAAAGGAUGGCUUUCCCUGGUACAGAAAGACUGUUCAUGGUCAAGGGUAUGCCAAGCAAGCCCUCAAGAUCUGUCUACAAGAGGAUAUAGGGCAAAAAAUAAUUUUUUAAAGUUUGUAAUUUUGAUAAAGUGUGAUUUUUUUUA